rnacentral:rRNA from 1 species
UACAGAGGGUGCGAGCGUUAAUCGGAAUUACUGGGCGUAAAGGGUGCGUAGGUGGUUAUUUAAGUCAGAUGUGAAAUCCCUAGGCUCAACCUAGGAAUUGCGUUUGAGACUGGAUAGCUAGAGUGUAGUAGAGGGAAGUGGAAUUUCCGGUGUAGCGGUGAAAUGCGUAGAUAUCGGAAGGAACAUCAGUGGCGAAGGCGACUUCCUGGACUGUUACUGACACUGAGGCACGAAAGCGUGGGGAGCGAAC